rnacentral:rRNA from 1 species
CCUACGGGUGGCAGCAGUCGAGAAUCAUUCACAAUGGGGGAAACCCUGAUGGUGCGACGCCGCGUGGGGGAAUGAAGGCCUUCGGAUGGUAAACACCUGUCAUGUGGGAGCAAAUGAAAAAGAUAGUACCACAAGAGGAAGAGACGGCUAACUCUGGGACAGCAGCCGCGGUAAUACAGCGGGCGCAAGCGAUGUUCGGAAUCACUGGGCGUGAGGCGUGCGUAGGCGGUUUAGUAAGUCAGAUGUGAAAGGCCCGGGCUCAACCCGCGGACGGGACAUGAUACUGCGAGGCUAGAGUAAUGUAGGGGGGAGCGGAAUUCCAGGUGUAGCGGUGAAAUGCGUAGAGAUGGGGAGGAACACUCGUGGCGAAGGCGGGUUCCUGGACAUAAACUGACGCUGAGGCGCGAAAGCGUGGGGAGCGAAAGGGAUUAGAUACCCGUGUAGUC